rnacentral:rRNA from 1 species
AACGAACGCUGGCGGCAUGCCUAACACAUGCCAGUCGAACGAGACCUUCGGGUCUAGUGGCGCACGGGUGCGUAACGCGUGGGAACCUGCCCUUAGGUUCGGAAUAACUCCCCGAAAGGGGUGCUAAUACCGGAUAAUGUCUUCGGACCAAGGAUUUAUCGCCUUUGGAUGGGCCCGCGUUGGAUUAGCUAGUUGGUAGGGUAAAAGCCUACCAAGGCGACGAUCCAUAGCUGGUCUGAGAGGAUGAUCAGCCACACUGGGACUGAGACACGGCCCAGACUCCUACGGGAGGCAGCAGUGGGGAAUAUUGGACAAUGGGCGAAAGCCUGAUCCAGCAAUGCCGCGUGAGUGAUGAAGGCCUUAGGGUUGUAAAGCUCUUUUACCCGGGAUGAUAAUGACAGUACCGGGAGAAUAAGCGCCGGCUAACUCCGUG